rnacentral:tRNA from 1 species
UUGGGUGUAUCUCAGAGGGUGAGUGUAUGCCUAUAGUGCACAAGACCCUGGAUUCAAUUCCCAGCACUAAAA